GGCCGUCGUAGGUGUGGACUCGGGGUGAAGGCGUCGUAGGCGGCGACGGCAUUGAGGGUUGGUAUGGUUGCGACAAGCUUGGAGCGGCGGCGCCGGGGACGACAGCCGGCAUUGAGAAUUGGGCUGGCGGCGCCGGGGACAAUCGCCAGGAACCACCUCGGAGGGCCUGGCGCAACGGCGACAUCGGUAACAACCAGCCUGUUCGCUUUAGCUUAUCAGCCAUCGAACAGUAUUUUUCUCUUAACUCUUUCAGCUUUUCAACCGGCUUAUAAGUCCAGCCGAACAGGCUCGACGUCGGCGGCAAAGUAAGGACUGCCUCCUGCUGGAUUUGGAUCACUCUGAGGUCAAAAGUGAGAAAACAUUAUUUGGAAUAUUGAUUUACUCUUGCAGUAUCGUCGUGUAAAUCACUACGAAUCCGACAUUUCUAUAGAAUGUUUUGAAUGUGAUUUAUUGACUUAAAUUCGUGUAUACUGAACAUAUGGUAUCUACCUCCGCACUAAAUUAUAUUUUAAUUUAUCUUUGUUCUAAGUCAAUCUUGUUUUUUGACUAAAUUAAAAAGUAUAUAGUAACAGCUACAAUACUAAAUAAAUGCACUACCAAAGACAUGUUUUCUGGUGGAUUCACAUAAAUUAAUUCGUAGAUAUUGAGAGUUCUUUUUUAUAAACUUGAUCGUGAAAAUAGAGAAGUUUGAUGUACUCCAAUAUUGGGAUAGAUGUUCUAGAUAUUGAGAGUUCUUUUUUAUACUACAAUAUUGGGGUAUAUAAUUUGUUAAAUACAAAAUGCAAAUUAACUUUUACUAAUAAAUAUCUACAUUUAUGGGUGGACGGACUAUACGGUACAUCGAAGCAGAAAUGGGAUAGAUGUGUGCACAUGCUAAGCUAGCAGGCUAUUGGAGACGGGACAAGGUACUAAAUAGUGUUUAGUGGUUAGCGCCGAUGUAGCAGAUCGCGGAUAGCGGGUGCUAUAGCGGACGCUAAAUUCAAAUAGCGGAAUUCAAAAAAAUAGUCACAAAUUUAGAGCAUAUAUGAAUAUCAACAUCUAGUUUACUUAGUUAAAGUAUUUAAGUUAGGCAUUACAUUUCAUGGUAAGAAUCACAAAUAAAUAGAUAUAAUUAAGAUGUAUGGAUAUAUAUAUUAACAUUAAAUUCUCAUAUUAAUGAAUAAAAAAUUCAUUUGUCAUCCCAUAAUUUUUCAUCCUUACCUAAAUAAUCAUUUUAAACAUUAUUAUUACCAUUUGAUUCAUAUUCAUAUGUCGCUUGAAUCAUAAAUGUAAUGAAUAGCUACUUAACAUUAGCAAUAGCGACCGCAAUAGCAGUCAAUAGUAACGGUCGUUAAGUCCAAACAUGCUAUCUUAGAUCUGCUACCUUGUAGCGGUAGCAGUAGAGUACCUCUACCGCUAUUGCGGGCGCUAUAAAUGCUAUUUAGUACCUUAAGACGGGAUGAGAGCGUGAUGAAUAUAGCUCACUAGAGAUGGCUGAGAAUAAUACAACGCGUGAUCUCACGUAAGACAACUAUUGCCCGCGAUGUCAUACCUCAUGUUAUGGCAUAUGUAAUUGGAACUGAUUUUACUCCCUUUGUUCGUGUUUAUAAGGCGUGAUAUGACAUAGCAUAGUCUUCCAAAUUAGAUUUUGACCAUUCAUUUAUCUUGUAUUAUUAUUUAUGGUUAUAACUUAUACUCAUUGGAGAGUACAUUUAAUUACAAAUCUAACCAUAUUAAGUUUACACUAAAAAUAGAAAAAUUAUGAGAUAAAUUAUUGGUCAAAGGUUGUAAAGUAAUGGAGGGAGUACUGGAUACUUAUAGUAAGAUCCAAAUGUUUUAUUUUUACAGAGCAAUAUUUUUACAGUAUUGUAACCUUUUGGGAGUACAUUUUUCUCUUAUGGAACUUUCGAGAAAAAUUGUUCCAUAUAGAGAAGGAAGAAUGUUCUAUUAGAAGAACAAAAUGUUUCAACUAUACAAUUAUGGAUUUAUAUAUGAAAAAAGGAGAUAAGAACAAAAUAAUUUUAUCCAAAGAGAAAACCACCAUGGGCUGGAUCCAAAGGAGAGGGGGAGGUAGGAUAUCCUUCACCCGUGGGCUGGAUCUACAAUUAAAGUCCAUGAAAAGCCCAUCAUAUUUUUACAGCUCCCCGUAUGGGCUGGAUUGCACCCCGUACGAGGCUCAGUCUAUUCAAUUCAUGGCCUGCGGCGUUGUCUGCAGCUCCCCGUAUGGGCUGGAUUACAACCGCAGUUUGUUAGACUCAGACAGAGCAGAAACGGCAACCGCAUCGGCCCAACUAAGUAGGAGUUGCAAAUAACCAUCGCCUUGUCCAGCAGAAUUCAGGACGAAGCCAUCCCACUUAUUAUAUUAUUUUAAUAAUUGAAGUGAACCGUAUAAGUAAAUUGGUUGAACUUCACCAUCUACAAUUAUCCAUACAUAUAUCAUAUAGUGCAUGCAACAAAACACAGAUAUAUUAGUGCAUGCAACAAAACACACCCUCAAUGUCGCCUUUGGCGGCCGCCGCGGCCGUGCAGACGAGGCCACCCGCUCGACGAAAUGGGUGCCCCGUGCGGUGUGCGCCAAAUAUUAUGAUAUGUUUUUUCUUUUCCUAAUCAUAAAGUGUCUAACGAACACAUUUCGUACCUUGUCACACUAGUACUGGUAGUUACUGUGUACGCCACUGGGUUAGUGAAUAUGGCUCGAUCGAACUUGUGAUCUUCCAAUCAUGCCGGCCAACAGAGUUUGGCGGUUUGGGCAUCACCGAUCUCAGGCUGGCAUCCAUGGCGCUUAGGAUGAGAUGGCUGUGGCUUCAAAAGGUCGAUGCUAGUCGGCCAUGGAAACUACUGCCACUUGAGUUCAGCAACCAGCCAGUGCUCCAACAGAUGUUCAACGCCUCCAUUGAAGUUCACAUAGGAGACGGCAAUCUGGCGCUUUUGUGGUCCGAUAGAUGGCUCGGUCAAUCCUCACCAUGUACCUUUGCCCCAGAGCUAUGUAAACUGGUAUAUCCGAGAAUCAGAAAGUCGUGGACAGUAGCGCAAGCUUUGGACAGCAAACGGUGGAUUUCUGAUAUUGUCGGACAAGCUACAGUGGAAGCUAUUGGCCAGUAUGUUCAGCUAUGGCAUGAACUGGAUGGAGUUCUGCUGACACCUGGGCGGGAGGAUAAAGUUUCCUGGAGAUGGGAACCUUCAGGAGAUUACACAGCCAAAUCCGCUUACAAACCCUUCUUCCAAGGCGCAAUGAAGUUUGCAGCGGCAAAAUCGAUUUGGAAGGCCUGGGCUCCCGUCAAGGUCAAAUUCUUUAUGCGGUUAGCGGUGAAAGAUCGGCUAUGGACAGCAGUGCGAAGGCUUCGACGAGGUUUGCAGGAUGGGGUGGCCUGUGCCCUGUGCGAUCAAGAACCUGUAACUCCUAAUCACCUAUUCGUCAGCUGUGUGUUCACCAUUCAGGUUUGGCAUCUCAUCGUCACGAGUCUGAACCUUCAGAAUUUGCAUACAGGCCAACUACCCCGCCUUGUGGAUUGGUGGCUGCGUUCGCGUGAGGGCCUGAACAAGGUGAACAGGAAGGUUUCGAUUCGGCUGUAAUGCUGAUUUCUUGGCAAAACUGGAAAGAACGAAACAGCAGAGUCUUCGCUAGAUCGCCGGCAAAAACGCCAUCACAACUCGCACAGGAGAUAACUGAAGAAGCUGGCACUUGGUGUGCGGCAGGAGGGAUCAGUUAUAACUUGACAUCCCCGCCCCCCCCCCCCCCCCCCCCCUUCCUUUUCUGGCUGUAAGCGUUGUCAUGUAAUUUCGUUUUCUUUGUCAGAAACCGUGUGCGAGUGCCCGGGUAGGCCCGCGAUGUAACGUUCUAAACGUUUUCCUUCUUAAUACAAAGAUACGCAGCUCUCUUGCAUAUUCACGAAAAAAAUUCCAAUCAUGCAGUUGUUUUUGCCGUCAGUUUAAUGUUGUGAGUGAAUAAACUGGGUACAGUAUGAAGGUUAUUGUGCUGUCAUUUGGCUAUUACACUGUCAUUUCUAGUACUUAAUGUCUGUCCUGUACACAGUAUGAGGUUGUUUAAUUUGCUUAGGGAAUUGAAGAGGUGCUCAUUUUAAACUGAAGAUGUUGUCCUCCGUGAGUGGUAUACGGCCGCUGAUUUUGAUGCAUUAAUUUUCUUACUUCAGCAGUCACCUAAUUUGGAGAGACUGUUCCUGAAGCUCCCACCGGUAUGCAUGUAAACAUGUUUGGCGGAUCGGAUGUUUCUUGAUUCUUCUAUUUUGAUGUUAGUUUUAGCAAUAUCCUUGAUGUCAACUUUCUUGUUCUGCAUAAAGAACUAUGGCAACAAGGAAGCUGGGGAUUGGUGGCGUUAACAAUGGAUUGGCAGCAGGAAACAGAAAAUUGUAAUCUCAAUUUAGCACUGAUUUGGGACCGGCGAUGGGCUUUGUGUUUGCUUUACCGUACCUGUACCUAAAGUCAUGUUCACAUCUUAACUAAACUUCUAUGUUGCCUGCUUGUGUUUGCUCAAAGGUUUUCCUGACCUCUGAUUCAGAAGAUUAUGCUCCCGCGCAGUUACAAUACUACAAUGUAGCAAUUUAUCACAGAGUUACCCACCAUCCAUCCGAACUGAACAUUUGGAUUGCAGGACUGCGAAUUCGAAGCCUAUUGCUAGGACAUUGGAUUUAGAAUGGCAGUGCCAAGCCCUGAUGGAUGUGGUGCAACGAAGCCGAGUGACAACUUGUUAGUGAAUAAGGAGUGAAGUGCUUGACAGUGCGGCAACCAACCGGCGAGGGAGACCGUGCGGAUGAAGCAGCGAGCUAUGGUUGUCAUGGAUGCCUCCUGUAGGGCUGCGAACCCGGCCAAGCUGAGCGGAUGAGAACGCCAAUGUUGCCAACGCCGGUGCAACAAUAAUGUACCGCCAGCCAAUUGCAAACGAUGAUUGGGGAGAAAAAUCAUUCCCAGUGGCGGAUCAUCUCUGCUUGGUGGAACAGCAAUUCUUGAUGCCACUCAUUUCUAUAUAGAUCGAAUCGCGGUGAAGAACAUGAUGUAACAUAAUUUACCAUCCUCGCUACGUAUAUCUAGAUAUUUUUUUCCUAAAGUGCUGGCCUCUCUAUAUAUGUUUAAAUUUUAUUACGAGCAUAUGUUGAUGUUUCACCUGUACUACACCAUCACUCCUGGAGUACAAUAUUCACCAACCGUCUGACAUUUUCUUUUUAUUUUUUUUGGUAAACCAUCAGAUUUUUAUUACGAGCAUAUGUUGAUGCAAAGCUAGUAUUUAUGUAAAUUCAGGGCAGAAAAAACUCAAUAAAUGUGCAGUAAAAUACACCUUCUCACAAUUUAAUAAAGGGCAUAUAUGUGCUCCUUAUAUGUUGUACUGUUAACAGGAACCGGAAUUGCAACCACGACGGCCUCGCCAUAUUGUCCAAUCUAAAUACAUAUCACCAAAAAAAGAGUGAAAAUGUAAGACCCUAAGAAACUAGAAUGUAAGAGAAAAGCUCCUUGUUGAAGAGUGACAUGGUUACAUGUGUGUAUAAUUUAAACAAGCUACAAACAUAUGCAUUUUUCAUUCAAUAAUCAUUUAGUUGCAAUACAAAAAAUUGGUCUCAUACAAGGUAAUACUAAACUGUUCGAACACUAUUCAGCGCAUAUAAAUAUAUUUUCUUACACACUAAAGUGCAUAUGUAUUAGGAGUUUACUAACCAUCAACCUUGCGAUGCUCAACUUCUUCCAUUUUCUCUACUUGCCUUCGAUAGCACCUUUGAAGGGAUAAGUUUGGUUCCUAUACUACUGUUGGGUAGAAUGAGCUAGUUUGGUGAUGGUUGCAUUUUAUUGUUGCAAUAAUACCGGGCAUACAUAUAGAGUCAUCAAUGUUCACCAAACCAUCUUAAUUUUUAUCAUAUAUUUCAUAUAUUUAUUCACCUGAUUUUUAUAGGGAGAAAGAAAAUAACGAAACCGAGGAGUGUGAUGGUCCGUGCAUUUACCACAGCCAUGAUAGGUUUGCAGGAACAAAAAAACUAUCAUGACCACGAAAGGUCAUGUUGACAAAGGCAAAAUAUAUGACCCUCAAAUGGAAAAGUUAAGAAAGACAAACAAACUCGAUGUUCAAGAGUGGCAUGGUGCAUGUGUUUGAAAUAAGUUGAACACACUAUAUGCAUAUGCACUUUUCCUACCAAUAUUGAGUUAAUUGGCUUACCAUAAAUCCAUAAUAGUGAUAUGGUCCUUCCAUUUUAAAACAUAUGAUGGUUAGGAAACGUUAAAUAGCUAUUUUUUAAAAUUAAUUAGUUAGCUUGUCCUAAACAUCGUUUAUUUUAAAAAAUGGUGGGAGUAACAAAUUGAAGUCCUUAGUCCUACAUAGACCAAGUAGGAAGUAGUUGGUGAAAUGCUUAACUUCCCAACUGUAGCUACAAAGGCACAAUUGUGAGUAUUCACAUCCAUGAGUCUGCUUUAUGACAUCUUAGUCAAAAAAUUUAUGUAUGCUACAUCGGCAUUUAACAUGAUUUAAAAUACAAUUUCACUUGAGGCACAGGCAUGCUUAGCAAAACCUUCUACCUAAAAUCAGUAGCAAAUGAUGGUUACAUUAUGGGUGUGCUUGGUUGGCUGGCUAGACCUCCCUAGAAAUCCAAGUCCUGGCUUAAGUAGCCAAAUAACCUGGAACACAAGGUACCGGACAUACAUAUUGCAAGCAGCGCCUGAGCACCGGGAAUGUAAAUGCAAACUAGCACUCGCCCUAGCUGUGGUCAGUAUCCAUGAUGUCAAGUCUCAAGGAGAGUAAGAAAUUGGACAAUCGUUGUGAUUUAAUUAAAGUAGAUUGAUUAUGUACAAAUCCAUUAUUGGGGUUCUUGCGGCACAUAUUUGAAUGAUGAAUGAUGAAUUAUAUUGUCAGCACUACAAUUUCCUUAACAUAUUUUUGGCACAAAGCAACUUAAUCUUGAACUCCAGUUUCCUCCCUUCCCUACUUAGAUAGUAUUUGGUUCGUACCAUAUUAACAUAAAUGCAAAUGGAAUUAGAUUCAAGUGUACUUGGUAGUAGUGUGGGUGUCAGAUAGAUAAAUAACUCUUACAAUAAAAGGUUCAACAAACCUAUAGAAAGGUUCAAAUCUUCUUUUGCUAUGUUACUCAAUCUAUUUAGUUUUUGAAAUUAUUUUGUACAUCUGAGCAUACAACACAAGGUACUGGAUAUACAUAUGACAAGCAGCGCCUGAGCACCGGGACAUGCAUAUGAUUAGCACUCGCCCUAGCUGUGGUCAGUAUCCAUGAUGUCAAGUCUCAAGGAGAGUAAGAAAUUGAAGUAUCAUUGUGGUUUAAAGUAGAUCGAUUAUGUACAAAUCCAUCAGGGUUCUUGGGGCACAGAUUUGAAACAUAAGCAUGCAUUAUAUUGUCAUAACUACAGUUUCCUCAACUUCUUUUUUGCACAAAGCAACUGAAUCUUGAAGUCCAGUUUCCUCCUUUUCCUACUUAGAUAGUGUUUGGUUCGUACCAUGGUAGCGUAAACGCAAAUGGAAUUAGAUUCAGGUGCACUUGCUACUUGGUGGUAGUGCGGGUGUCGGAUAGAUAAAUAACUCUUACAAUAAAAGGUUCAACAAACCUAUAGAAAGGUUCGAAGCUUCUUUACUAUGUUACUCAAUCUAUUUUUUGAAAUUAUUUUGUACAUCUAGGCAUACAACACAAUUUUAAAUAACUGCUAAUCUAAUAUAGUGUAAAUUCUAAGUUACAAAAUGAUACCCAUUAGUUCACCAUAUAUACACUGCUGACAGAAGAAAAAACUUGACGGAAGAAAACAAAAAUCAUUUUGCUAUCUUAAACGUUGUCGAUCCAGUACACAUUUUGGAUGAGACAGUGCUCCGAAGCAUCAGCGCUGGUUGCUUCUUGAGUUUUUCUAUGGAGCUAGAAAAAGGUACUUGAGUUAUCUUCAGCACAUUGAGAAAAUAUCAAGCAUAAACUCUCAACUAUUAAUUAAUGAUGGUUAUCAUGGUAUAUGAUUUUGCUCUUACUUAUUAGGAGCCUAUUAAAAAUUCCACUCCAAGAAACCUGCUGGGUACGAGUUCAUCUAAGCAAUCCGGUGGGAACCAAGGAACGAGUUGAGGAAUUGUUGGCAAAGUAAAAGGAGCACACCAGUUUUUUCCCUUCACCAACACCGGAAGAUCAGGUUGAGGUCAAUAUAUAACCUGCAGUCUGGCCAUUGCCUCAAGCUUCAUCCUUCAGAUACACGAACCCACACUUGCUUGCCCACAGCUUCAGUACCAAAUUUUGGAUGAUGGCAUCAAGCAGUGCUGAUUUGGCUUAAACUAGAAUUCCUGUUGCCUCCCUUUCCUAUUGGUCUUUGAUAAGACCAUGGCAAUUUUCGUCAACCUUCUGUUAUGCCAUAAGCUAGCCAUGUUGUUCCUACGACACACCUACUCGCUAUGGGAAAACAACAGUGCAUGCUAUUUAUCUUGAAGGAGAUGGUUUGUAUGUUCGGUAGAUAAAGAAAUAAAACGAAAAAUGAUCCAACAACUGUCUCCAAAUUUUCGAAGCUUGUCGCUGUGGUGUACACCCUGGGUGUAUAAUAACGCAUUAGUUUUGCAUUCUAUCUCUACCCACCACAAAUGGUAUUUUAUAAUAUUCCUAAGAUUUAAGAGUAUCUCUACGAGCCGGCACCAUGGGAGUCGCUCGGUUUCUUGUCGACCAGUCUUCUUCUUGUUUUUUUUGUUUUUUUGAAACUAAUGAUCAAGCCAGUCUUGUCGCCUGAACUGAACAUCUCGGGGUUUUCAAGUGCUGCUGUGCUAGCUAGCUGCCCAGCUCUAUAAGUGUUUGUUUUCAGACCGCGAGGGGAGUACCAGCACACAAGCACUGAUUAAAACCAUGGAAUGCUCUGAUCCGGUUACGAGUUGCGGCAUUUUAAGGAGUAGAGCCCAAUCCAACGAACGUGAUUAGACAUGAAUUCCGCUACCUCCCUUUCCUAGUGGAUCAUAACUCUCAGUGAAAACAUGAUGAAUAAGACAUGCAUGGGAAUAGAAAUACUCAUCAUCCAAUUUUGGAACAAUUUUAGACCAGCCUCCUAGCUAGAAGGUAACCGAAGUACUCUAGCAUUGCCCUUAUAUAUUAUAGCAAUUUAUCACACAGUACAAUACUACAAUAUGUGCAGUAAAAUUGUAAUAUAUGUUACCCACCAUCCAUCCAUCCGAACUGAACAUUUUUUUUGAAACGAACCUGGCAGGAGAGCUACCGAUUAUAUUAAAAAGGAAGAAAUCCAGACUGGAUAAAUACAAACGAUCAAAAAUAAAAUAAGGCAAAAACUACACCAGGAAAACAAAACAACACUAUGAACUCAGUCACAAUCAGCAUCGCGCUAGUAAAGCGGAGAGAUGUUUCGCUCCCGCCGUAAUCCAUACAGGGGCCUCAUCUUUGAUCCUCUCAAAGAUCAUGUUGACAGUAGACUUUUUACUGAACAUUGGAUUUAGAAUGGCAGUGCCAACGAGCUCUGAUGGAUGUGGUGCAACGAAGCCGAGUGACAACUUGUUGGUGAAUCAGGAGUCAAGUGCUUGACAGUGCGUCAAACAAUUGGAGAUCGUGCUGAUGAUCGAAGCAGCGAGGCAAUGAUUGUCAUGGAUUCCUCCUGUAGGGCUGCGAACCCGGCCAAGCUGAGCGGAUGAGGAGGCCAAUGCAGUCAACGCCGGUGCAACAAUAAUGUACCGCCAGCCAAUUGCAAAGGAUGAUUGGGGAGAAAAAUCAUUUCAAGUGGCGGAUCAUUUCUGCUUGGUGGAACAACAAUUCUUGAUGCCACUCAUUUCUAUAUAGAAUCGCGGUGAAGAAGAACAUAAUGUAACAUUAUUUACCAUCCUCGCUACGUAUAUCUAGAUAUUUUUUUCCUACAAGUGUUGGCCUCUAUAUGUUUACAUUUUAUCAUGAGCAUAUAUUGAUGUUUCAUCUGUACUACACCAUCACUCCUGGAGUACAAUAUUCACCAACCUUCUGACAUUUUCUUUCUGUUUUUUUUGGUAAACCAUCAGAUUUUUUUUUAUAAAGUCUGAUGGAUGUAGAGCUAGUAGUUAUGUAAAUUCAGGGCAGAAAAACCUCUAUAAAUGUGCAGUAAAAUACACCUUCUCACAAUUUAAUAAAGGGUAUAUAUGUUCUCCUUAUAUGUUGUAUUGUUAACAGGAACCAGAACUGCAACCACCACGGCCAUCUUAUCCAAUCUAAAUAUAUAUCACCAAAAAAAAGUCAAAAUGUAAGACCCUAAGAAACUAGAAUGUAAGAGAAAAGCUCCUUGUUGAAGAGUGACAUGGUUACAUGGGUGUAUAAUUUAAACAAGCUACAUGCAUAUGCACUUUUCAUUCAAUAAUCAUUUAGUUGCAAUACAAAAAACUAGUCUCAUACAAGGUAAUACUAAACUGUUCGAACACUAUUCAGCGCAUACAAAUAUACUUUCUUACACACUAAAGUGCAUAUGUAUUAGGAGUUUACUUUUAAAAGUGAGGUGAAAUUAUCGUUUAUGAAUUUUGUACUACACAUUGCAUCAUCAAUAUGUAGUAUUUAACAUGUCGAAAUCUGAAAUUAAGCAUGAGUGUGGCACCCUUUUUCUUAAUUAAUCUUAUUUCUACGACCAUGCACCACAUGCCGCGGCUAGUUCUUCAGCAAGGUUGAUCCGAAUGCACAUGCAGAGACAGUCUUGUUGCCUGACCUUCUCAGGUUUAUGAAUUGCUUCUGAGUAAGUGCAAGCCUUGCAGGGAAUCAGCGACAGGAGGUCCAUCUGCGGAUAAUUUGGAGUGUACAUCAACAGGGGUGCUGCAAGGCUUGCACUCACUCAUCCCGGCUCUGAUACCAUGUUAGUUUUGGAAUAUCGAUUUCCAAGUAUGUGUACAGGGAUACAUAUAUAUACGCUUGGGUGGCAUGCAAGCCUACCACAAUACGAUUGAAUUAGUCUAACACUCCCCCGCAGUCUAAUCAGGGGCAUCGCUAAUGGUCAGACUGGACCGGAACUCCUGGAACAGCGAGGUAGGAAGACCCUUGGUGAAGACGUCAGCGUACUGUGAUGUCGUGGGAACAUGAAGGACCCGAGCAUGACCAAGUGCAACCUUCUCUCGAACAAAGUGGAGGUCGAUCUCCACAUGUUUCGUCCGCUGAUGCUGUACUGGAUUGCUGGAGAGAUACACUGCACUGACGUUAUCACAAUAGACCAAAGUGGCUCGACGAAGAGGGCGGUGAAGCUCGAACAGUAGCUGUCGUAGCCAGGUGGAUUCAGCUACGCCAUUCGCCACAGCACGAUACUCAGCCUCAGCGCUGGAUCGCGAGACCGUGUGCUGAUGCUUGGAGGACCAGGACACCAAGUUGUCACCUAGGAACACUGCGUAGCCAGAAGUGGAGCGUCGAGUGUCCGGGCAUCCAGCCCAGUCUGCAUCCGUGUAGACAACAAGCUCUGUAGGUGACGAGCAGCGCAUGGUCAGACCAAGUGAGAGAGUGCCUCGUAAGUACCGUAAAAUCCGCUUGAGAGCCGCGAGAUGAGGCUCCCUGGGUUCAUGCAUGUAGAGGCACACUUGCUGAACGGCAAAAGCAAUAUCCGGACGGGUGAAGGUCAGAUACUGCAAGGCGCCAGCGAGACUGCGGUACUGCUUGGAAUCAGCGACAGGAGGUCCAUCUGCGGAUAAUUUGGAGUGUACAUCAACAGGGGUGCUGCAAGGCUUGCACUCACUCAUCCCGGCUCGCUCCAAAAUCUCCUGAGAGUACUGUCGCUGAGAGAGAAAUAAACCACCAGUAGAGCGUGUCACUGAAAUACCCAGAAAGUGGUGAAGAGGACCCAUAUCUGUCAUAGCAAACUCAUGCUGGAGAGCCCCAAUAAUCUGCUUCAAAAGGCUGUCAGAAGAAGCAGUGAGAACAAUGUCAUCCACAUAUAGCAACAACAAAGCUGUGUCUGGCCCCGUCGAUAUAUAAAUAAUGAAGUGUCUGACUUUGCUUCAACAAAACCAAGUGAAAUAAGGUGAGAGGCAAACCGAUGAUGCCAAGCACGCGGAGCCUGCUUCAGACCAUAUAAGGACUUGUUGAGCCGACAGACGAAAUCUGGACAAGAGGAAUCCACAAAGCCUGCAGGCUGAAUGCAGUACACUGUCUCAGUGAGGGUGCCAUGCAAGAACGCAUUCUUCACAUCCAGCUGGUGAAUAGGCCAGUCCUGAGAGAGAGCCAGAGAGAGAACCACUCAAACUGUCGCGGGCUUGACCACAGGGCCGAACGUCUCAUCAUAAUCAAUACCUGGCCGCUGUGUGAAACCCCAAAGAACCCAACGAGCCUUGUAGCGAUCCAAAGAACCAUCUGCAAGGAGCUUGUGACGAAAAAUCCACUUGCCGGUGACAAGAUUGACACCAGGAGGCCGUGGCACAAGACUCCAGGUGUCAUUGGCGAGCAAGGCGUCAUACUCAGCUUGCAUUGCGGAGCACCAAUUUGGAUCGGACAGAGCCCCACGGACAGAGGACGGCAGUGGUGACAUGGGCACAACGUGGAGGUUGAGGCGAUCCACAGGCUGUGCGAUGCCGGUCUUGCCGCGCGUGCGCAUGGGAUGCGCGUUGUCGACGGGGGCGAUGGAGACCGGCCGUGUGGCCAUCGUGCGGCCAGUGGUCGUGCUGCUGGUCGACCAGCUUGCCGCGGCCGCGGUGCUGCUGGCAGCAGCCUGCACGCGAGGUGCAGGGGCAGCAGCACCGGCCGGCUGGAUCGACGCGGCGCGCGGCGCCGACUGAGCACUACUGGCAGCAACCCGUGCGUGAGCUACGGGGGCAGCAGGGCUUGUCGGGGCAUGUCCGGCCGUGCCUGGGCCGUGGUGGCCAGGCGUCCCUGCUCCAGGGGACAGGGCGUCGUGCGGCGCCAUGACUGGUGUACCUGCAAGCACAGACCGAACUCCAGGGACUGGAGUGGUGAGAUCUUGUUCGUCAACAAGAAAGUCCAAGGCGGAGGAUGCCAUGGGCGUGGUGGACAUGUCGGCGAAAGGGAAGAAGGAUUCGUCAAAAACGACAUGUCGAGAGGUGAGGAUGCGAUUUGACUCUAGUUCGAGACACCGAUAGCCUUUGUGUUCCGAGGAGUAGCCGAGAAAAACGCAUAGGGAUGAACGGGGUGCAAGUUUGUGGGGUGCUGUGGAUGACAUAUUGGGAUAACAGGCACACCCAAAGACUCUAAGGUGUUCAUAGGAGGGAUGGGUGGAGAGGAGGUGGAAGAAAGGGGUGGAGAAAGCUAGGGUUUUGGUGGGGAGCCGGUUGAUGAGGUAUGUGGCGGUGUGAAGUGCCUCAACCCAGUAGACCGGAGGAAGGCUCGCCUGAAACAAGAGAGAACGCAGAAUGUUAUUAAUAGUACGAAUAGAGUGUUCGGCCUUGCCAUUUUGCUGGGAUGUGUAGGGACACGACAUGCGAAGGGCAACACCGUGGGAGAGAAAGAACGUGCGGGCCAGGGAAUUAUCGAAUUCGCGGCCGUUGUCGCACUGGACACUCUUGAUGGUGAUGCCAAACUGCGUGUGAACAUAUGCAAAAAAGUUUGAAAGAGUGGAGAACGUGUCGGAUUUUAGGCGAAGCGGAAAGGUCCAAAUUCCGCUCCAAAUGUAGUGUGAGCAAUCAUCUAAAAUGACAAGAUAAUAUUUAUAGCCAGACACACUAACAAUGGGAGAUGUCCAGAGAUCACAAUGUAUCAAAUCAAAUUUAUUUGUAGCUCUAGAGUUGGAUGAACCAAAAGGAAGUCUAGUGUGACGCCCGAGCUGGCAAGCAUGACAUAAAUGUAGAAGAUCAUCUUUAUUACAAGAGAUAACAAUGGAGCUAAUAAGUUUAGACAAAGCUUCGCGCCCAAGAUGUCCGAGACGACAGUGCCAUAGCGAAGUGGGUGCAGCGAGGAAUGCGGAGGUGCUGGUGGCUGGUGGAAAGAACGGGUAGAGGUCGCCAGAGCUAUUGCACCUGGCGAUCACGUUCCUGGUUUUUAAAUCCUUCACAGAAAGACCAAACGCAUCAAAUUCGAUGGAACAAUUGUUGUCAGUGGUAAAACGACGAAUGGAAAUCAAGUUCUUAAUGAUAUGUGGAGAAACUAAAACAUUGUUAAGAACUAGAUUGCGAUGUGGAAAAGAAAAGGUAUGUGAUCCGAUGGCAGUGAUAGGAAGUAAAGCACCAUUGCCCACAAUAAUAUAUGAAGGUGUAGAGGAUGUGGGCGAGGAGAUGGUGGAAAGUUUACCAGCGUCCGCAGUCAUGUGCGAGCCGGCACCAAAGUCGGCGUACCACUCCGAUGAUGCCGGGGGGUUGAGAGUCAUGGUGUUGAAAGACUGCACCAGAGAGUCCUGGUUCCAUGCACCUCCAUGGACGGGGUUCCAGGGCAUCGAUGGCAUCGGAUAUGACGUCCCCUGGAACGCCGGUGUCGAAUGGGCACCUCCCCCGUAGGGGUAUGGGUAGCCGGAGCCGUAGACGCCGCUGCCGGGGGCACCGCCAAACGGUGCGCCAUACUGAGGAACGGUGGCGAAGGCCGGUGGAGGUGGUGGUGGGCGGCCGUACGGCCACAUCUGGAGCGUCCCAGCCGAGGGAUGGGCGAAGGACGGGUGCUGCCCCGGGAACGGCGCUGCCUGGGAGCUGCGGGCUGGUGCGCCGUAGGCAGCAGUGGGCGGCUGCCUUUGCCACGGCGGUGGCCGUUGCGCUGGCCGCCUGGCUGGCCGUUGCGGGCAGGGGCAGCAGGCGCGGACACGCCUUGACGGGCAUGUGUGGCAGCCGGUGGUGCGGGCGUCGUGGCGACGAGGGCCGAGGGCGGGGACGGUGGCCGAGCAUCGAUGUCGAUCUCCUCGAGCAGCAGGUGCGUACGGGCCUCAGCGAACGUCGGGAACGAGCGAUGCAUCUUCAAGAUGGACACCAUAUGGCGGUAUUUGCCACUGAGGCCACGGAGAAGGGUGAGCACCAUCUGACGAUCUCCGAUGGGGUCGCCGAACUCGGCGAGGGACGCAGCCAUGGUCUCCAACUUGCGGCAGAAGUCGGUGAUCAUCAUGGAGUCCUGGCGGAGGUUGCGGAAUUGCGUCUCCAGGAGAAGGGCACGGGACUCCUUCUGGCCGAGGAACUCGUUCUCGAGGUAGCACCAUGCCUCGCGUGCGGGGCGUGGCCGGAUCAUGAGCGACUGCUGCAAGUCGCUGGAGAUGGUGUUGUAGAUCCACGUCAAGACGACGCAGUCCACCUGGGUCCAUACCGGGCGCUCGGGGAACGCCUCGUCCUCGAGAACAUGGCGGGUGAGGGCGUACUUGCCGAGCACGGUGAGGAACAUCCCGCGCCACUUGGUGUAGGUGUUCGUGGCCGUGUCGAGGAUGAUGGGGAUGAGCGCCUUCAUGUUGACGACGGCGGUGGCCUGCGCCUAGAUAGCUUCGUGGGCGGCCUCAUACUCGGCGAGAGCCGCGUUGCGGAGGCGAAGUUCCUCGUCACGGCGUGCCUUGUCGGCGCGUGCAGCAGCCUCGGCGGCCAGGCGACGUUCCUCGGCGGCCGUGGUGGCAGCCACGGCGGCAGCAUCCUCGUCCGUGGCAUCUGCAUCUGCCAUGGCGAGUUAGGGCCGGCGGCGGCGCCCGGCUGAAGAAGCGGCGGGGCAGGCAGGCGGAGGGUGGAUCGGCGACCGUGCUGGUGAGGCAGGGCGGGCGAUCGGGCGCGGCGAUUGGCUCGGCGGCGCUCCAGGCGAGUGGAUCGGCGACGGAAGUGGCGAGCAAGGACCGGCGGCGCGCUAGGGUUGCGGAAGCGGAUCGUAACCACGUGAUACCAUGUUAGUUUGGAAUAUCGAUUUCCAAGUAUGUGUACAGGGAUACAUAUAUAUACGCUUGGGUAGCAUGCAAGCCUACCACAAUACGAUUGAAUUAGUCUAACAGCUUCAAUUCUGUCCUAGCUAGCUGCCCGCCUCUAAGCAAGACAAACUGAAUUUUCUUUUCAGACCCCGGCGGGGAGCACCAGCCUCCUAUCAAAUGGCAUGCAGUUCUGCCUCCACUGCCCCUUUGCUCGAUCUGCUUUGAACAAGAUUUUCACCGGGAGCAGGUCGCAUUGCCUCGUCACCUACAGCCACAAAACUUCCACUCCUUCCCCUCGCUAGCCGAAUGGUGGCAAGCUGCUGCAUGCAGAUACAGAGUCAAGGGAAACCCGUCUCUCUUCUUAUGGUAUGGUCAUCUAUAUUUGGUGGAACAUUUGGAAUGAGCGAAAUCAUUGUAUUUCUCAGCAAAACCUUCUGCCGGCUAUGGAGGUUGCCUUGCAAACAAAAGAAGACCUUACGCAAAGAAGUCAUGCCAUGUUGUUGCCUACUCUCUUUCAGGGUCUCUUCGCCGCUGUUGUUUCUGUCUACUUGGCUCUUGUUUUGCUUUUGCUCUCUGGAGUCACAGCAUAGGUCUUUGGCUUGCGAUUUGUGGCUAAAAUACUCUAUUUCCUUCCUUAAUUAAGGCCAGAGAUCCUGCCAAUUUGGUUAAAAAAAUUGACUCUCGCUCUACCAACAAGCAAAAACCAAAAAAAUGUGGAGCAUGUCUUAUAUCCUGAAGAAACAAGAAAGCACGUCUCACUACUACAGAACAAGUCAUCACCAACGGACUAUCACCGCCGGUUUUAUGUGAACCGGCUGUGAUGUCCUUUCACCACUGGUUUACAAGUACGUAGGAGCAGUGCCAGCCAAAACCGGCGGUGAUGCUCACUAUCAUCAUCGGUUUGUGGCUAAAACCGGCGGUGGCACUAUCACCGCAUGAUUUCAACACCAUCCGGCAGUGAAUUAGGGUGCGGACCUGAAAAAAACCCUCAAUUAGCUUAAAUCACGCAUCUCGGGUCGGCUUCUCCCUCUCCCUCACUAUCACCUGAGUUCUAUCGCAUAUUUGUACUUGGCAAGCAGCCAAAUAACCGAAGUUGUUUUUCCUGCCUAUUCAUACGUCCGGUAGCUGAGACACAUAUUGCAAACAGAGCAUGAGCGCUUGGGAAUGCAAUCGCAGACUAGAACGCCCUCGAGCUGGUUGUGAAUAUAUAGUAAAUCGCCAUUUAUCAUGAUUAAAUACACAGUUAAAAAAACAGUGAUCAUAGCUAGGGUGAGUACCCUGCUGACAUUGAUAGUUAUCAUAGCCAAUUUCCUUUACCAUGCAAUGUUUAUGGUCAUAAUAUAAGGUUCUUCUCCUUGUUGCUACUGGCCACUGAAUUUCAGAUAGCUGAGCUUGCCUUGCUACAGCCUGUUGAAGAUGACACCUCAGAAGGCAGGCAAGAGGCAAGAGGCAGCAGAAAACGUGAAAUGGCCGUGCGCCACACCGUUAAGAUUCAACAUGAAUUCUUGAUGCCUCUCUUUUCUAUUGGCAGCUAUAGAAAAGUUACAAACUAUCAACCUUGUGAUGCUCAACUUUCCUCCAUUUUCUCUAUUUGCCUUCAAUAGUGCCUUUGAAGGGAUGAGUUUGGUUCUUAUACUGUUGGGAAGAAAUGUAGAAUGAGCUAGCUUGGUGAUGGUUGCAUUUUUAUUAUUGCAAUACCAGACAUAUAUAUAUAUAUAUAUAUAUAUAUAUAUAUAUAUAUAUAUAUAUAUAUAUAUUCAUCAAUGUUCAACCAAACCAUGUUUAUUUUUGUCAUAUAUUUCCUAUAUUUUAUUUCUUCCUUAAACCAUCUGAUUUUUAUACGGAGAAAGAAAACAACGAAACCGAGGAGUGUGAUGGUCCAUGCAUUUAUCACAACCAUGAAAGGUUUGCCGGAACCAGAACUAUCAUGAGUCUCAUGACCAUGAAAGGUCAUGUUGACCCUCAAAACAAAAGUUUAAGAAAUACAAACAAACUCAAUGUUCAAAAGUGGCAUGGUACAUGUGUUUGAAAUAAGUUACACACAGUAUAUGCAUAUGCACAUUUCCUACCAAUAUUGAGUUAAUUGGAUUAAUAUAAUAGUGAUAUAGUCCUUCAAUCUUAAAAACAUAUGAUGUUUAGGAAGAGCUAAUUAGUUCAUUUUUUAAAUUAAUUAAUUAACUUUUCCUAAACAUCAUAUAUUUAAAAAAUGGUGGGAGUAAUAAAUUGUAGUCUUUAGUCCUACAGAGACCAAGUACCAAGUAGGAAGUAGUGGUGAAAUGCUUAACUUCCCAACUGUAACUACAAAGGCACAAUUGUGAGGCUUCACCUCGAGCAUGCUUUAUGACAUCGCAAUCGAAAAUUUUCUGCAUGCAACAUGGGCAUUUAACAUGAUUUAAUACACAAUUUCACUUGAGGCAUGGGCAUGCUUAGCACAACCUUCUCCCUAAAACCAGUAGCGAAUGAUGGUUACAUUACCUGAAUUCUAUGUUGUAUUCUUGCCAUGCAGCCAAAUAACCUAUGUCGCAUUGGAACACAAGGUACCUGACAUACAUAUGGCAAGCAGCGGGAAUGCAAACGCAGGCUAGCACUCGCCCUUGCUGUGGUCCGUAUCCAUGAUAUCAAGUCUCAAGGAGAGCAAGAAAUUGAAGCAUCGUUGUGAUUUAAAGUAGAUCCAUCAGGGUUCUUGCGGCACAGGUUUGAAAGACAAAUCAUGCAUUAUAUUCUCAGAACUACAGUUUCCCUAACUUCUUUUAGACACAGGGCAACUUAAUCUUGAAGUCCAGUUUCCUCCCUUCCCUACGUAGACAGUGUUUGGUUCUUACCAUGAUAACGUAAAUGCAAAUGGAAUUACAUUCAAGUGCACUUGGUAGUAGUGCCGGUGCGAUGUCAUAUACAUAAAUAACUUGUACAAUAAAAGGUUCAACAAACCUAUAGAAAAGUUGGAAGCUUCUUUACUUGAUAUAAUUUUUGAAAUUAUUUGUACACCUCGGCAUACAACAAUUUUUUUUCCGUAUCGUCCUAAACAAAAUUUUAAAUAACUGCUAAUCUAAUAUCCUGUAAAUUCUUAGUUACAAAAAAAUAUCCAUUAAUUCGCCAUAUAUACACUGCUGACAAAGGGAAAACAGAAAUAAUAUAAUUUUGCUGUCUUUAAAUUUGUCGAGUACACAUUCUUGAGACAGUGCUCCAUAGCAUCAGCGCUGGUUGCUUCUUGAGUUUUUCUAUGGUGCUAGAAAAAGGUACUUGAGUUGUCUUUAGCACUUUGAGAAAAUAUCAAGCAUGAACUGUCAACUAUUAAUUAAUGAUGGUUAUCAUGAUACAAGAUUUUGCUCUUGCUUAUUAGCAGUGUAUUAAAAAUUCCACUCGAAGAAUCCUGCUGGGCAUGAGUUCAUCAAAACAACCACAGUGGGAACCAAGGAACGAGUUGAGGAAUAUAUUGUUGGCAAAGUAAAAGGAGUCCACCAGUUUUUCCCCUUCACCAACACCGGAAGAGGUCGAGCUUACGAAGACAAGGUCGAUGCAAAGCUGCAGCUGUGCACAGUCUACUCAGUGCCUCAAGUUCCCUGUGCAUUUUUUAAGAUAAUAGAAGAUAUAUAUAUUCGGAUUUUAGACCAUAAUUGUCCACAAACCACGACUGAUGGCACUAAACUGCAGUCUAGUCAAGCUUCAGACACACGAACCUCGACACUAAACCGCACUUACUUGCUUGCCCACAACUUCAGUGCCUAGAUAGGGCACCAAAUUUUGGAUGAUGGCAUCAAGCAGUACAGAUACGGCUUAAACUAGAAUUCCUGUUGCCUCCCUUUCCUAUUGGCCUUUGAUAAGACCAUGGCAAUUUUCGCUAUCCUUCUGUUAUGCCAUAAGCUAGCCAUGUUGUUUCUACGACACACCUACUCACUAUGGGAAAACGACAGUGCAUGCUAUUUAUCUUGAAAGAGAUAGUUUGUAUGUUUGAUAGAUAAAUAAAUAAGACCAUAAAUGAUCCAACAACUGUCUCCAAAUUUUCGAAGCUUGUUGCUGUGGUGUACACCUGGGUGUAUAAUAACGCAUUCAUUUUGCAUUCUAUCUCUACCCACCACAAAUGGUAUUUUAUAAUAUUCCUAAGAUUUAAGAGUAUCUCUUAAUUGCUAAAGGAAAAAAGACCAUUUGUAGGGGUGGAAAUCACCAAUGUUAUUAAUUUUAAUAUUACUAAAGAUAUAUAAAGAUUAUGUUUAAUUUAAAUACUCUAGUUUAUCUAUUAUUGAUGAUUUUUUAUAUAUUUAUUGAUUGAUAAAUGAUUACAAAUUUAAUGAAAUAUAUAUUUUUUUUGAAUUUUGUCAUACAUUUAAUUAUUGAUAUGCUAUUUUCGAAAAGCUAUCUUUGUCUACAUGUAUUAUAUAUUAAUACUAUAAUCCCUACUUAUAUAAUGUUUUUGUAAGUCUAAAAACCAUUGAUAAAGAACAUAGAUAAUGGUAUCUCCCAAAUUAACUAAAUAUAUGAACGUGAAUCUGAAUUUGAGCUAUCAAUUUUGUAUUCGCAUAUGAGAACAUUCAAAUUGGUACUCAUAUUUGAGUUAAAAUGUGGUAAAAGGUGAGAUCCAAAUCUGAUUCUAUGCGAACUCGGUCCAAUUCUAUCCCAACCCAUUUUACUAACCUCACCAAUCCACUCCAUCUAACACCCUCGACAUAAUUUAGGCUUAACUUACUCCUCUGAACUGUUUCAGAUAUUUCAAUCUUCAUGAAUAGAUUGCGCAAGACAUCUUCACAAGUAAAGGCACUAUUUUUGAAUGAAGAGAUAUUUUUAUAAAUGUCCCUAUAUUUUCUAAGAUAACUUGUAAUGGCACAAUAUUAUGUCUCUAUCAUCGACAUGAACUAGGAAUAUAUUACAAAAAUAUGGUAAUUAAUUUUUUGGAAUGAUUGGUCUUCGAACUCAAGACAUCAUACUACAUUGCAUAAUACUCCACCUACUAGCCAACUCAACCUCACACCAAUUGUUGCAUAUUUACUAAAUAUACUUCUUAUAAUUAUGCCUCAAUAGUCUAAAUAGUAUCUCAAGAUAUUACCGUGAAUGUCUCAUACUAUGCCUUUAUGGGGUAAGGUCAAUUUUAUAGUGUCUCAAAUAUGUCCGUAAUGUUCUAUAUUGGCAUUUUACAAAAUGACUUAAGAAAAUAUCCCUAUGGUUGAAAAUGCCUCAAGUACUGUCUCAAUACAUAUGGUAAUUUCUAAAGUACCACAAAAAGUGCCUUUAUAAUACGUUCAGGCACAUUCAUAAAGGCAAAUCAUAAAAUGACCAUACAAAAGUGUCUCUACUUCAGGUUUAUGUUGUAGCGGUUUUAAGUUCAUAUUUUUUGAGCGGAUAAAUACGCUAAGAGCUUUUCAUGGGUUAUUAAUGAUAUUUAACGCAAAUUGAUCCUAUAGAUUGCUUCAUAAUUUUUUCACUCCUUCAUAAUCAAAGAAACUUGCUAAAAUUUAAUGGUGCCCCACUCUAAAAUAAUGCUUUCUACUCCCUCUUAACAGUACUUGAUUUGCUGACUUUGAGGAUUAAUUUUGUUAUGGUAUUCAUAACAUUUAAUAGAUAAGCAGUUUUCAAGAUAAAUAUGUCCAUAUGAUUUUUGUUUACGUUUUCAAAUUAAAUAUUCAUAAAGUUUUGGCAGUCAAAGUAUGAUCAAUUAGAGCCGAAAGAGGGUGGGUAUUGACAAUAGUUAGCACUUGCACCUCCAUUAAAAUUAUGCAUGCAUGCUCCUUUACAAUAUAAUCGUCUCAACUUGAUAAGAAAAUUUGCAUGAAUUUGAAGUGCACACCUGACAUCCUAACCUGAGCAAGAAUUUUGUCAUCCAUGACAGAAGAAAAUACUCGUGUCUGGGAUUCACGAUACUCUUUCAAAAAACUGGACUCGCACUAUCUUAUUAGUAGAAAAUUUUAACUUAUGACAUUGAUAGCAUUGAUAGGACCUUGCACUUUUUGCAACAGCUGUUGUUUUUUUUUACUCGCACAGCUGUUGUAAAAAAAUUGGACUCGCCUGCACUGUCUCAUCCAUUCUGUUGUUUUCCCACCCCGUGGCAACAGCUGUUGUUUUUGUACCCAUAACUUUUUGCCUAGUUCUUGUGGCAGACAUAAAAAAUGAACCUCUAAAACUUUUUCAUCAACUGUUGCUGGAGGAGCUUAAACUUGAAUUCCAGCUGUCUCUCUUUCCCAUUCAGUCACCUACAUGGCCUUGAUAAGACCAUGACAAUUUUCACUAUCCUUUGGUUCUGCCAUAACCUUGGACGUUUCCUACCACACGCCUACUAGCUCACCGCGUAUCUGAAAAGCAUGGUGCAAUGGCGCAAGAUUUUUAUCUUAAAUGAAGUGGUGUGAGAAUAUGGUAGAUAAAUAAUUUGGAACAUAAAUGAUGCACCAACCAACGAGAAAUUAAGUUUCGAAGUCGGUACACACCUUAUGGUAAAAUAUUACUUGACGUUUGUUAUUUUUCACUACCUUUUAUCCUGAAAAAAAUCACUAUCUUCGAAGUAUAAGCAUGACUAGUGUUUUUAUUAUAAUGCAUUCAUUAAAGUCAUAAAUAUUGCAAAACCAUUUUUUAUAAACUGGGUGAUGUAAUUUUUAAAAAUAUAUAUAUUUGGCCCUCAGUUUUCCCAUUUUCAUGUUCCUAGAAGAAGAUUCGUCACUUCCUAUGUUUUCCAUUGGCUAUCAUUUGGAAAUAGCUCGUGUUAUUUAGCUCGCUGGUAAAAUCUAAAUUCUAAUCUCCUCUUCUCGAAGGAGUUUAGUUGGAUUAUCACACGCGCUGUUUCUAGCUUCUCGCGCUCAUCAUAUGUCAAGGCACAAUUUUCAGUUGUUGCAUCAAGGUUUAUAUGGUUGACGGAAGGGUUUGUUUAGGAAGUGACAUCAUCUCAUCAGGAUGAUCAAGUACACACAGGCCCAUCGAUCGGGGUCCUGUGACGUACCCAUGGGACUGAGACCACAUCAUAUCCUUGUGUACACAGUAUCAUAUACUUUCACCCCCCCUAAUGUUCCUUGAAUGUCGAUCGAGUCACUCGGUGGAUUAUAUCUUCGAUCAGCCGCUACUGAAGUAGAUCUCUCAGGGUGCUCUUGUCGAUCUGUUCCGGUUAGGAAAUUAAUGCCUCCUUGUUAGCUAGCUAGGUCCACAGCCAACAACCUUGGGCUUGAAUUCCUGCUACCUCCCUUUCCUACUGGAUCCCCGGCCCUAAUCGCAUGAUCAAGAAUUCGGCAUUGAACAUCGUCCAAUUAUAUAGCAGUUGGUACUCUUCCCGUCCCGGAAAUUCUAGUGUCAAUAAUUUUUAUCAUGCCGGUGGUGAUGCAUGCUAAUAUAGUACAUUACGCAGGACGGCCCGACAAGCUCAAGGGAGUGGAGGGAGAAGGGAGAGGGACGGGUUGAAACUUGGAAGUGAAAGUCAGGGGUGCUAUAUACCACCGAGGGGUAAUAUUGUGUACGUAAAAAAGACUCUUUUUUAAAGGCGGUUACAAUUAUCAGCAUUUACAGCCCCUGUUGAUUUUGAUUGUUUUGCACAUUCGAUCCACGGCAGCAUCCAGGCUAUCCCAGCCUCUCCAGUCUCCACUGCCGCAGCACUCGCUGAUCCCUGCCUCUAGCUACUAGAACAAAAUCACAGGAUAAAUUAAAAUUAAUUAAUUCUCGCUGCACGAAGAACAACGCAAAUAGUGUCUCUUGAGUUUUGUAGGCAAAAACGGCAAUAAUCAUACCAAUUCCUUGGGCCGGCAAUGGCGUUGUCCUCAAAAUCGUCAAUCGUGACCGCUGCUGCGUCUCGUGACGCGGAGGAAGCCGUGUAGCGUUCAGUGUCGGUUGCUGCUGGUGAUGUGAUGUGACUUAAACUUGAAUUCCCAUUGCUUCCCUUUCCUAUAGGGUUCUUAUCGGCGUGUUUGGGUACACCUCUUAAAAUUUAGUACCCGUCACAUCGGAUAUUUGAUACUAAUUAGGAGUAUUAAACAUAGACUAUUUACAAAACCUAUUGCACAGAUGGAGUUUAAUUCCACGAAUCUAUUAAGCCUAAUUAGUCCAUGAUUUGACAAUGUGCUGCUACAGUAAACAUGUGCUACUCAUGGAUUAAUUAGGCUCAAUAGAUUCGUCUCGCGAAUUAGUAUAGGGGUUCUGCAAUUAGUUUUAUAAUUAGCUCAUGUUUAAUCCUUCUAAUUAACAUCCGAACAUCCGAUGUGACACUCCUAAAGUUUAGCACCUCGUAUCCAAACACCCCCUAAGUCCGUGGAGAUUUUCACCGUCCUUCGGUUCUGCCAUAAGCUAGCUAGGCUGUUUUCGACGACACACCUACUCACUGCAUAUGAAGAAACGACAGUGUAUGCUAUUUAUCUUGAAGUUGAAGAAAGUGGUUCGUAUGUUAGACAGACAAAUAACUCGUAACAUAAAUGAUCCAAUAAAUAUCUACAAUUUUUUCAAGGAACCGCACGAGAUAAUGCAAGGUUAUUAGUAAGGAAAAUUAAGAUAAAACCUAAAGUGUGAUCAACCGGCGAGGUGGCACUACUCAACUCAAUGGGAAAUAUCUAGACGGUUAGUCGGGACAUCAAUACGCCUGUACUCAUCGGACCGGUUAGAUUGGGACAUCAACGCGACCGUACCACUCACAACACAACCACCAUCCGAUUGGAUUGGGACAUCAACCAGAUAACUAACAAGCGUCGUGUGCCAUAACAAACUACAACCCCGCUUGAGAAGAUGACCACACACCGGAACAGCUGCCGCUAAGCGUGACCAACCGCUGCAAAGCCACGAAGAACCCGUAAGCACUCCGCCUCAUCCAACAAUGCGUAGUUGCGCACCGUAGGGAUGUGGAUUCACGGAUGCUAGAUCAGACAGGGAGUGCAAAGGGAAAGGGACAGAGAGAAAAAGGAUCCACAUGUCCCCCACACGAGCCCGCUGCCUCCACGUGGAUGAGCUGCCGGCAAAGUGGAUAUGCUGGAAAAGGACAACCAAAAGUGACGCCUCUACGGAGGAAGAAUGACACCAUAAUAGUUUUGAAAUUGCAAGAGGAUAUAAAAAUUGGAUGUAUAGUGUGAUUUAUUUUGCAUCACUAUGUAAGGAGUCUUCAAAGGAGAUGCGGGUUAAUACACAUAGGAGCCGUCAUUUUUUCACGUCUCCAAAUUUUCAUCUCUUAUGUGUUUCAUAUCAGAGAUGUAUUUUUGUCAUUGAAGACGUGGAUUAAUAAACUAGCGUCUCCUAUGAGGGUCAUUGGAGACGCGGAUUGAUAAACUGGGCAAAACGCGUCUCCAAUGACAAAUUAAAAAAAGGAAAAACAGGGGAUGUAAUAUACGUUACAUACAUCACAAAUACACAAGUUUAUCCAUUGUAGAGGUGUACAUCACGAAUACACAUGCAUUGUAGUAGUGCUCAUGUACAACAAAAAUAGUCCUUUGUGACAUUCAGAAAGUUCACUUCUAGAAAUUGAAGUACAAAAUCAGAAGUGCAGAUUCAAUCAUCAGCUUUGUGUGACCAAUUCAGCAGGUAGCUAGCUAAUAGUGCUCAGAACUUCCUGAAAAAUAAAAUUGCCAUGUAACCAGCGCACUUUAUAAACAAGCUAGCAUUGAUUGACCAUACAUGUUUCAACGGAUAUAUAAAGGAGAGUAGCACCUAAAUGCAAGAGACAUAUUGAACACAUAAUUCAGAGUGACUCCAAAUGUACAACAAAGAUAAUUUAAAGAGGACAAAAGUGCUCAGAUUAUUGCCAAUAUAUGCUGGGUAUAGGUAUAGCUCCCUUCACUUUUACAGAUCAAUACCGCGCACCAAGUUCAUUUUUCUUGAAUGAAUCUGCAAGAUACCUAAACCUGACAGAAAGGGAAAAGUUUUAAGGACCCAUCAGGCAAGGCUAACUUAACCAAUGCACAUCUGCAUAGAGAAAAAUAUUCUGAAGAGGAUCUACUGUUAUCAACACCAAAACAGGAAAAACAAGUUGGGCUGUUUACUGAAACUGAAAACUUAAUCACAGUUAAAACAUUGGUCACCUGAAACCGUUAGUAUGCUCAUCAAGACUAUACUAGACUGUCUUUGCUUCAUCAAGCAAGAGAUGUUGGUGCACAAAGUUAUUAGUAGCAGUAAGAAUUACUGCCAUGCCAAAGCUAGCACAUACUUAGGAAUUAUGUCACAGAAGAAAUAAAUUGAAAGUAAAGUAAUUAUCACCUGAACUAGUCAGAAUGUCACUUAAAGAAGAAACUGAGACCUUUUUCUUAGUUUAAGCAAGUAAAUAUCUGUCAAAGUGAUAAAAAUAAAUAAUUCCGAAUGCUAGCAGAUGCAUCUCAAGUCUGAUUAUUUCAAAUGCAAAGAUAAGAAUGCACUAGCAUUAAUACAGAGUAAUUGCCUACCCUAGGGUUGAUUUGAUAUGUGGAUGUUUGGAGCCCCCAGCUGAUGGCAUCCUGCAAGCAAAUGAGCAUAUUGCAAUAAGGAACUUUUAGCACAAGAAGUAAUACCUAUACUGGCUAUAAUGAACUAAUAUCUAUACUAGCAUAUUACAAUACUAACUCACAUACUUAUGAAUGUAGAUGUGUACGUACGUCUGGUUUGGUGAUGACAACAAUGCCAAGAACUAUAUGCAUAUAAAAAGAAAAGACUUCAUCUUCUGACAAGUACUAAGACUUCAGCUUCUCUCCCAGCUCUUCUGUGGCCUACUGACGAUCCUUGACCACCACCUGAUAGCUGAGCUUGCGUUGCCUCGACCUGAUGAAAAUGACACCAGGAAUACCUCCCGAGACAGGCAAGGGACGGCAAAGAACAUUGUGCGCCACACCGUUAAGACUCGACAUGAAUUCUUGAUGCCUCUCUUCCAUAUUAGCUCUUCUCUUGGUAAUUUACUAAUUAUGAUGCUCGCGAUGCUCGACUUCUUCCAUUUUCCCUCCUUGCUUUCUAUAGUGCAUUUGAACCGAUGAGUUUGGUUUUUGUACUGUUGGUUAGAAUGAACAAGCUUGGUCCUGCUUGCAUUUUGUUGUUGCAAUACCUAGCGUAUAUAUAGCUCUCAAUGUUCACCAAGACAUAUUAAUUUUCUCAUAUUUUUGCUAUAUAUUUUCUUCUGCAUUAAACCAUAUCUGAUUUUUUAUAAGGAAAAAGAAAACAAUAAUGGACCGAGGAGUGUGAUGCUCUGUCCAUUGACCACAGCCAUGAAAGAUACUGUUUUCAGGAACCACCAUGCAUGUGAGUAUAUAUGUUAUCUGAUCUAAUAUACAUAUCGACAAAGACAAAAUAUAAGACCCUCAAAAGGAAAAAUGUAGAAAGGCAAAAGAAACUCUGCUCAAGAGUGGCAUGGUACAUGUUUUCAAUAAACCUGCUACAUGCAUAUGCCCUUGUUGAAAUACUUAACUUCCCAACUGGAGCUACAAAGGCACAAUUUUUAGUCAUCACUUCCAUGACUGUGUUCCAUCCCAUCGCAGUCGCAAAGGUUAUGCAUUCUAAAUCACCAUUUUCAUGACUCAAUACACAGCUCAAAACAAACAUUAAUUACGUCCGUCAUUCGUUCGUUUAAUUUCUACGAUUCAGUUUUGUAGCAGGCAUGGUUAGCAAAACCCUCUCCCAAAAACCAGUAGCGAGUGAUCAUUGUCUUAUCUGGGUUCUAUCGCAUUUAUACUUGCCAAACAGCCAAAUAAUUAACCUAAGUUGCUUUUCCUGCCGACGCAUAUACAGUAGUUGAGACACAUAUGGCAAGCAGAGCCUGAUCGCUUGGAAAUGCAAUCGCUCUCGCUGGUUGUGAAUGCUAAAUCACCAUUUGUCAUGAUUAAAUACAUAGUUGAAAACACAGUGAUUGUACCUAGGGUGAGUACCCUGCUGACAUUCAUAGUUAACAUAGCCAAUUUCCUUUACCGUGCACUGUUUAUGGUGGUCAUAGGAUUCUCCUUGUGUUGCUACUGGCCCCGGAAGAAAAAAUCAGGGCCUGAAAAUGAGCCAACAAGUGUUGCAAUAUUUUAGAGCUCUGAUCAAGUACAAAUCUUCUUGCUAAAUUCCCCUUUGUCCUGUAUGUAGUAUCUUUAAGGUGACCCUUGUGAGCUUCUUUCUUCGAUCAGGUACUGAUUGGAGAAUCAUAGGUUGCUCGAUGCUCUAAACUCUUCCAAAUCAGAGAUGCGUGUGUAUUGGCUAGUUCUAAUCUGUAUCCGGCAUCUGCCUGUCAUCCAUCUGCAGCUAACUCAGCUACACCGGACUUCUCCAAGAGCACCACAUUCCGCUCCCCCUUGGCCCACUAGCAAUCUUCUGACACUAGAUAGCUGAGCUUGCCUUGCCACAGCCUGAUGAAGAUGGCACCAGACGUACCUCCGAAGGCAGGCAAUGGGCAGCAGAAAACAUGAAAUGGUUGUGCGCCACACCGUUAAGAUUCAACAGGAAUUCUUGAUGCCUCUCUUUUCUAUUGGCCCUGCUAUAGAAAAGUUACAACUAUCAACUUUGCGAUGCUCAACUUCCUCCAUUUUCCCUAUUUGCCUUCUAUAGUGCCUUUGAAGGGAUGAGUUUGGUUCUUAUACUACUGUUGGGUAGAAUGAGCUAGUUUGGUGAUGGUUGGAUUUUGUUGUUGCAAUACCGACCAUAUAUAUAGUCAUCAAUGUUCACCAAACCAUCUUAAUUAUCUGUCAUAUAUUUCCUAUAUUUUAUUUUUGCGUUAAACCAUCUGAUUUUUAUAGGAAGAAAGAAAAAAGAACCGAGAAGGAGUGUGAUGGUCCGUGCAUUGACCACAGUCAUGAAAGGUUUGCAGAACCAGAACUAUCAUGACCAUGACCUUUCAUGUUGACAUAGACAAAAUAUAUGGCCCUAAGGGAAAAAAAAAAAAGACAAACAAACUCGAUGUUCAAGAGCGGCAUGGUACAUGUGUUUGAAAUAAGUUAAAUGCACUGUUGCAUAUGCAAUUUUCAUACCAAUAAUAUUGAGUUGAUUUUCUUAACAUAAUCGUGAUAUAGUCCUUCUAUUCUAAAACAUAUGAUGUUUAGGAAAAGCUAAAUAGUUCAUUUUUUCAAUUAAUUAAUUAGCUUUUCCUAAAGGUUGUAUAUUUAAAAAUGGUGGGAGAAACAAAUUAAAGUCUUAGUCCUACAGAGACCAUGUAAGUAGUUGGGACCAUGUAAGUAGUUGGUGAUAUGCUUAACUUCCCAACUGUAGCUACAAAGGCACAAUUGUGAGUCUUUGCCUCCAUGAGUAUGUAUUAUGUCAUCGCAGUCGAAAAAUUUAUGCAUGUUACAUCGGCAUUUAACAUGAUUUAAUACACAAUUUCACUUGAGGCACGGGCAUGCGCAUGCUUAGCAAAACCUUCUCCCUAAAACCAGUAGCGAAUUAUGGUUAGCUUACCUGAAUUCUAUUGUAUUCUUGCCAAGCAGCCAAAUAAUCUAUGUCGCAAUGGAACACAAGGUACCGGACAUACAUAUGACAAGCAGCGCCUGAGCACCGGGACAUGCAUAUGACUAGCACUCGCCCUUGCUGUGGUCAGUAUCCAUGAUGUCAAGUCUCAAGGAGAGUAAGAAAUUGAAGUAUCAUUGUGGUUUAAAGUAGAUCGAUUAUGUACAAAUCCAUCAGGGUUCUUGGGGCACAGAUUUGAAACAUAAGCAUGCAUUAUAUUGUCAUAACUACAGUUUCCUCAACUUCUUUUUUGCACAAAGCAACUUAAUCUUGAAGUCCAGUUUCCUCCUUUUCCUACUUAGAUAGUGUUUGGUUCGUACCAUGGUAGCGUAAACACAAAUGGAAUUAGAUUCAGGUGCACUUGCUACUUGGUGGUAGUGCGGGUGUCGGAUAGAUAAAUAACUCUUACAAUAAAAGGUUCAACAAACCUAUAGAAAGGUUCAAAGCUUCUUUACUAUGUUACUCAAUCUAUUUUUUGAAAUUAUUUUGUACAUGUAGGCAUACAACACAAUUUUAAAUAACUGCUAAUCUAAUAUAGUGUAAAUUCUAAGUUACAAAAUGAUACCCAUUAGUUCACCAUAUAUACACUGCUGACAGAAGAAAAAACUUGACAGAAGAAAACAAAAAUCAUUUUGCUGUCUUAAACGUUGUUGAUCUGGUACACAUUUUGGAUGAGACAGUGCUCCGAAGCAUCAGCGCUGGUUGCUUCUUGAGUUUUUCUAUGGUUCUAGAAAAAGGUACUUGAGUUAUCUUCAGCACACUGAGAAAAUAUCAAGCAUGGACUCUCAACUCACUACGUCAAAAUUAAUUUGUGCUGGUACAUGAAAUUUAGCAUGUUGGUGAGCGAGAUUGACACCCGCCAGCACAAAGAUUUCAUGGGCCGGCGGGGGAGCACCCGCCAACACUAUUAAUUAAUUAUGGUUAUCAUGGUACAAGAUUUUGCUCUUACUUAUUAGCAGUGUAUUAAAUAUUCCACUCGAAGAAACCUGCUGGGUAUAAGUUCAUCUAAACAACCCAGUGGAAACCAAGGAACGAGUUGAGGAAUUGUUGGCAAAGCAAAAGGAGUCCACCAGUUUUUUCCCUCACCAACACCGGAAGAGGUUGAGCUCAUCAAGCUGCAGUCUGGUCCGUGCCUCAAGCUUCAGAUACACAAACCCCGACACUAAACCACACUUGCUUGCCCACACCUUCAGUGCCUAUGACACCAAAUUAUGGAUGAUGGCAUCAGGCAGUACUGAUUUGGCUUAAACUAGAAUUCCUGUUGCCUCCCUUUCCUAUUGGCCUUUGAUAAGACCAUGACAAUUUUCGCUAUCCUUAUGUUAUGCCAUAAGCUUGCCACGUUGUUUCUACGACACACCUACUCACUAUGGGAAAACGACAGUGCAUGCUAUCUAUCUUGAAGGAGAUGGUUUGUAUGUUCGAUAGAUAAAUAAAUAAAACGAUAAAUGAUCCAACAACUUUCUCCAAAUUUUCGAAGCUUGUCGUUGUGGCGUACACCUGGGUGUAUAGUAACGCUUUUAUUUGCAUUCUAUCUCUACCCACCACAAAUGGUAUUCUAUAAUAUUCCUAAGAUUUAAGAGUAUCCCUUAAUUACUAAAAGAAAAAGGACCAUUUGUAGGGGGUGGAAAUCACCAAUAUUAUUAAUUUUAAUAUUACUAAGGAUAUAUAAAGAUUAACUUUAAUUUAAAUACUCUAUUUUAUCUAUUAUUGAUGAUUUUUAUAUUUUAUUGAUUGAUAAAUGAUUAUCGAUUAAUGAAAUAUAUUUUGUUUUAAUUUUUCAUAUAUUUAAUUACUGAUAUGCUAUUCUCGAAAAUCUAUCUUUGUCUACAUAUAUUAUAUACUAAUACUAUAAUCCCUACUUACAUAAUGUUUUUGUAAGUCUAAAACCAUUGAUAAAGAAAUUGGAUAAUGUUAUCUUCCCAAUUAACUAAAUAUAUGAAUAUGAAUCCGAAUUUGAGCUAUCUAUUUUGUAUUCACAUAUGAGAACAUUCAAAUUCGUACUCAUAUCUGAGUUAUGAUGAAAGGUGAUAUCCAAAUCUGAUUCUAUGCGAACUCGGUCCAAUUCUAUCCCAAACCAUUUUUCUACCCUCACCAAUCCACUCCGUCUAACACCGUCAACAUAAUUUAGGCUCAACUUAUUCCCCUGAACUAUUUCAGUUAAUCCAAUCUUCUUCAUGCAUAGAUUGCGUCAUAAGUUCAUAUUUUUCGAGCGGAUAAAUAACACGAUUCCUUAUGUUAGAAAAUUACGAUAAGAGCUUUUCAUGGGUUAAGGACAUUUAACGCAAAUUGAUCCUAUAGACUGCUUCAUACAUUUUUCACUCCCUCAUAAUCAAAGAAACUUGCUAAAAUUUAAUGAUAGGCCCCACCCUAAAAUAAUGCUUUCUACUCCCUCUUAACAGUACUUGAUUUGCUGACUUUGAGGAUUUAAACUUUUCCUACGAUAUUCAUAACACUUAAUAAAUUUAUUAGCUUGCCAAAGCAGUUUUCAAGAUAAAUUUAUACAUAUGAGUUUUGUUUAUGUUUUCAAAUUAAAUACUCAAAAAGUUUUGACAGUCAAAGUUUGAUCCAUCAUCGCCGAAAAGAGGGUGGGUAACUCGGUAUUAACAAUAGUUAGCACUUGCACCUCCAUUGAAAUAAUCCAUGCAUCCUCCUUUACAAGAUAAUAAUCUUAAGAAAUUUGCAUGAAUUUCAAGCGCACACCUGACGUCCUGACCUGAGCAAGAAUUUUGGUCAUCCAUGGCAGAUGAAUAUACUCGUGUUCUUGUGGCAGAUAUAAAAAACGAACCUCUAAAACUUUUUUGACGACCCCUGGAGGAUCAGAGUAUCUUGAACUUGAAUUCCAGCUGUCUCUCUUUCCUAUUCAGUCACCUACAUGGCCUUGAUAAGACCAUGGCAAUCUUCACUAUCCUUUGGUUCUGCCAUAAGCUAGGACGUUUCCUACCACGUCCACACGCCUGCUACCUCACUGCGUAUCUGAAAACGAUGGUGCAAUGGUGCAUGCUAUUUAUCUUGAAGGAAGUGGUGUACAAUAGAUAAACACUUUGGAACAUAAAUGAUGCACCAACCAACGAGAAAGUUUCGAAGUCAGUACUCCUUAGGGUAAAAUAGUCUCGAUGUUUGUUAUUUUUUCGCUAUCUUUUAGCCACAAAAAAAAAUUGCUAUCUUCGAAGUGUAAGUAUGACUAGUGUUUUGUUUUAAUGUAUUCAUUAAAGUCAUAAAUAUAACAAAAUCAUUGUUCAAGAUAAAUCUAUGUACACCUUUUGAACUUAUAAUCUUACUAUUUAAAAAUUUAUUGACCAUCAAAGUUUCUAUAAUUCAAUCAAAUAAAGCAAAAAAAACCAUUAAAAAUUUAUGAUCGUAGAGAGUAUUAUAAAUAAUACCUGGGACUUGCGUCUCCAGUUUACACAUGGUACAAGGUAAAUUUUGAGUAAACAAGAAAAUUUGCCUAAUUUUCAACUGCACAUGAGGCAGGUGUUCUUUCAUAUAUAUAUAGAAACCAAAAUACUCAUGUCAGAAACUCAUGGUAUACUCUUUAGAAAAACAUGAGACUCAAGACAAUCUAUUUAUUUAUUCUAUUAUCUGUUUACCCUUGAAUUUUAUUUAUUCAUUUGAGUUUCUGAGGAACAUUUAUUUAUUUUAUGGACUCAUUUUUGGCACGGAGUCCUCUCCGAGAACGGGCCCACAGCAUCUCCCCAUUCUCCCAGUCCAUCGCUCAUCUCGCAGCCCAGCCCAGCCGCUGCCGAACCCCUUCCUCUCUCUCACUUCACUCCAGCCGCAACCGCAUCGCCGCCCCUGCCCCCGCUUCCCACCAAAAACCCUAGCCAUCCCAUCCCAGGUUGCCCCCGGCCGCAUCGCCGCCGCCCGCCGACGAUGCCUCCCAAGGCGAAGAAGGACGCCGCGCCGGCGGAGCGCCCCAUCCUCGGCCGCUUCUCCUCCCACCUCAAGAUCGGGAUCGUAAGCCCAAUUUCCUCCCCCUUUCCCCAUUCCCCUCCGCUCCUCUCCACUCGCCUGUUAGUUCUAGCCUCUGCUGGUUGCUGGAUCUCGUAGCCGUACGGUGGCGUCUCCGAUGGGGCCGCGCGAGCUCAGCGCCGCCGCAGGGCUACCGCGGGUUUGGGGUUUUACGGGCCGUCCUGAGGUCGCCGCCGUCCGUGGUUGCCUGACGAUCUGGGUGGUCGCUAAGGGCUCCGUGCUUGCGUCUUGUUGAUGGGAGCGUUGGGUUGCGAUUUUGUGGUCAGUUGAUUUGAGGCGUGCGGUUCACGUGCUGGCGGCGGUGCACGGGUUCCAGAUUGUGCACCGAGGGAUUUGGUUCGGAGGCCUGGGUUGGUACGGAUUUAUCGAAUCAUAUUAAUUUUGUUUGUUCCAUGGGAGGUGAGUGAGUAGCGAGUGAUUUGCUAGAAUGACACAAGCUUGAACUGCCACUCUGCCAGAUGAUUCUUCCAUUGGAUUUGGAUAGUUAUUUACUAGGAUUAGAGGAACACAUAAGUGGCAGAUGUUAUCGGAUUGUUAUUAUUGGUUCCUGUGCUUCUUGUUGUGGUUUCUUACUAUUAGCUGAUGGAUUGUUGGGGAUGACUUGGCAUAAAGACCUUGGUGUGGUUUUAAUGGAAUUUGAGUGGGCCCAUGGUGAAAUGGUGUCGCUAGAUUAGUAAAGUUUGUUAACAUUAUUGGGAACGAAUUGCCUAGUGCCAAUUAUCAAUGAUUUUGAUGUGUUAAAACAUGCUCCAUUCUUGAGUACUGCUGGAAGACUUCGAUGCUGUUUCUGUGGGAUAUAGCAUCUCCCAAACUAAUAAGCUUAGUUGACACGUGUGCUACGGGUGUGGUGUAAUAACUCGCGAUAAGUAUUUUUGCUGGGUGCCAUGCUAUUACCCGUUACUAAUUCUGUAUGUUACUCUUGUUGUUAUAUAGUGUUGUAUUAUGCUUUAGUGUCAUACUGGCAUGUAAGAGGCCAAGGGUAUUUGUUCUUGUCUCAUAGAUUAAAAAAUCACAAUGUAUUAUCUGAAUAUUUUGCAUUGUUUGUCACUCUUUAUAUUAUGAUUGCUUUGAUUAUUUAGUCAAUAUGUGCUGAGUGUUGACUAUACAUUCAAUGCCAUGAUCAAAUGUAGUUACCUCAGUGGCAUGAUUGCAUUUAUAUUUGGCUAUAAUCCCAUUGUCGGUCGCUUGAUUUAUUCCUGUCUGUCACGGGUAGGAGGACAAUGUAAGUUGCUAAGAUGAGGCCUAAUGCACUUUCUGGAUUGAUGUUGCUGCAGGUUGGGUUACCAAAUGUUGGCAAAUCAACUUUCUUCAACAUAGUAACAAAGCUGGCAAUCCCAGCUGAGAACUUCCCUUUCUGUACCAUUGAACCAAAUGAGGCACGUGUGAAUGUUCCCGAUGAGCGAUUUGACUGGCUUUGCCAACUUUUCAAGCCAAAGAGUUCGGUCUGUUUCUUUUCUUUGCUCAUACAGUAAUGGCUAGCUUCUUAGGUUAAGUUUAGAUAAACAGUGACUGUUGAGAUCAUGUUUCAGCUGUAUUAUGACCAUUGAAAUUCUAUGCAGGUUCCUGCAUAUCUGGAAAUAACUGACAUAGCUGGGCUUAUUAGAGGUGCUCAUGCAGGGGAUGGUCUGGGCAAUGCGUUCCUAUCCCAUAUACGUGCUGUUGAUGGAAUCUUUCAUGUCUUGAGUAUGUUUUUGUUCUAGUUUUGUUAAUAUUUUCUAAUUAAUUAUACCAGAUUAUUCAUUUGUUCUUUAUGAUACCUUCGGUCUUAUAACUUGAUUGAUCCAACUAUAUAGUGCCAUAUAAACUGGAAGUUUUAAUAUGAUAUUUAGUGAAAAUUAGGUUACCAUAUUUUUUCAGUGUGAGGCAAAAGAUCAUUUGUGAUUAAUGUGUAAUAAUCGUGGAAGCAGCAUAUUCUUAUCAGUCCUGUAUAUUUUCCUAUCUAUUCACAACAUAUGCAUAGUUGUUGAUGAUUUCGUUCUUCCCCAUUUUUGUUUCUUCACGUCCGCUGAUGCCUUAUAGUAUUCCUAGUAUGUUCUAACGGAGACCAAAAUGAACAGAUUAAUUGUUCAUGUCAUUCCUUUCAAGGAAUAUGUUAUCUUUAUCAAGGUUUAUUUACUAAUUUAACUACACAUUCUUUGUUAUACCUUUAACUGUUUGAGUGUUGCAUGUGGUUUUCAGGGGCAUUUGACGACGCGGAUGUUACUCAUGUUGAUGAUACAGUAGAUCCUGUUAGAGAUUUGGAAACUAUUACUGAAGAGCUCAGACUGAAGGUUAACAUUUCUUGAUUCGCACAUCAUUUGUACAACAUUUUAAGCUUCUUUUGACAAUGGUCUAUUGUAUUCUGUGCAGGAUAUAGAUUUCAUGAGUAAGAAAAUCGAGGACCUUGAGAAGUCAAUGAAGAGGAGCAAUGAUAAGCAGCUCAAAAUUGAACAUGAAUUAUGUGAGAGGGUGGGGCACUGAUUACUUCUCCAAUUCUGCCUCAUAGCUAUGGAUCUGAUAGCGACAUUCAAUAUAACUGAAAAUGAUUAUUCUUUAUUGUUAACCGAGGUUCAAUCUCUUGACAGGUCAUAAAACAUCUCCAGGAUGGGAAAGAUAUCCGUUUAGGAGAUUGGAAAGCUGCGGACAUUGAGAUCUUGAAUACCUUCCAGCUACUUACCGCAAAGCCAGUUGUCUAUUUGGUAGGGGUUCUUGUUCAUCCGCAUACCCAAUCUAUUUGUCAAUAGUCAACUACGAGAAACUUAAAGUUAUUCUUUUCAUGACGUUGAAGUGUCCAUGGUUCUUAAUUCACACUCACCGUUUUUAGGAAAAAAAGUAAACAACUAUCAUUUUAUUCUUUUAUGCACUCCAUGCUCUCUUCUCCGUUUCCUUCUAUCUAUUUUCCUGCUUUCUGUUGUCAACAUUUAUUUGGAGCCAUUACACAUUGUUAUAUGAAAGGCAACUGGUACUAGAUCAGUCGUGUGCUAUAAAUGUUUCUCAAAUAAUUAUCUGUGAAUGAUGUAUUAUGAUAUCGGUUUAUUUAUACAUGUGUACAAAGGAAAAUGCAUAUUUUUUUAUGUAUGGACCCAGUCAACAUUCAACCAAAUGAUGUUAAUGAACCAUUUGACUGUGUUCUUUUUUUUUUCAGAACAGAUUCAAUCUUGUGUGACCUUUUAUUAGUAAUUGAAAUGGAUAGGCUACAUGUUGUAAGCAUAUAUGGCCUUUUACAAUGGCUUGACUGGCCAUUUUAAAUGACUUGGGCGAUGUGCGUUUUUAAACUAAUCUGUUAUUUGUGCAGGUAAAUAUGAGUGAGAAGGACUUCCAGAGGAAAAAGAACAAGUUUCUACCCAAGAUACAUGCUUGGUAUUGUUUCUUGAAGAGUAUUUUCCAAAGUGUUAGGUUUUGUGGUCCAAGUGACAGAAAACCCUAGAUUCUUGCCACGUGUCACACAUCCAAAUGACGGUUUAAAAUUUUGAUCCCACUUGCUGGCAGAUGUUGCUACAUGUUGGCAAGUUGACCCCUCAUCAGCUUCUAGUAUAGAGCCCCAUCAUCUGUAAAUGGAACCUGGAUUUAAGAAAGUUUAUGAUUUGGUUCAUGGUGGACCUUUUGUGAUAUAAUUGUAUGUAAGUGGACCGCAAUAUCUUGGUUAAGUGACAUGUGGCAAAGAACUGUGUUGUUACAUUUGAACUGCAAAACCUGAGUUUUUUGUUGUUAAACACUCUUCUAUAGAUCAUACACAGAUGCUAUUUCUGUUAUAGCUGAUCUAAGACACUUUACUGAUUGAAAAAUAUUAUUCCUUUGGUAGUGUAUGUUCUUAUUUGUCAGCAUUAGAAGCACAGACGAGCUGAUAUAAUUUUUUUUUUCAGGGUGCAGGAACAUGGUGGUGAAACCAUACUUCCUUUCAGCUGUGCUUUUGAACAGAAACUAGUGGAUAUGCCAGAAGAUGAAGCUGCCAAAUAUUGUGCUGAAAACCAGAUAACAAGGCAAGUUAAUUCACACUACUAUACUUGUGUAGGUUAGCUUGGUCAUACUAAAUGCUUGUAGUGAUGCCGUAUUGGACCUAUGUCAUGAGGUGGCAGUUUCUACUAGGACAAACUAACAUCUUAAAAUACAAAGAUUGGCAGCAGUGGCAACAAAAUCCUAAAACUUUAGAAGCUGGAUUAUUCGUCCUGGCAAAUAUUAAUUUUAAAUAAUUCUUCUACAUGGACAUCCCCAGCAGUGGCGGAGGGGGGGCAUUUUUCCACUUAAAUUUUUUGAAUUUAACAAAAUUUUGAAAAAAUUACCACUGCUGGCCCCUCUAACAAUGAAAAAAAUGAGAUCCUGGCUACGCCCCUGAUCCCCAGCAUUCAAAUAAUUGCCUGCCUUGCAUUUUUCCACUGAAAUUUUUUGAAUUUAACCAAAUUUUGAAAAAAUUACCACUGCUGGCCCCCCCCCCCCCCCUAACAAUGAAAAAAUGAGAUCCUGGCUACGCUCCUGAUCCCCAGCAUUCAAAUAAUUGCCAACUUUUGGCCAAUCACACAUGAUUUAGAAAUAAUCUUUUUUGUUACAAUUAUAUCAAAAUGCCUCUUGACAUUGCUCAAGCUGAAAUAAAGAAGGGCAUUUUGAGAGUGCAUGCCUCGAGGGCUAGGGUAGUGCCAAGGAUUUGUGAAUAAAAAACAUUUUUUGAAAAGUGUCAAUUGUUUGACAACUUUCUGAGUUCUCUCAUUGGUUUUAAAUUUUCGCUAAAAAGUUUCUCUAUUAUGUCCUGCAGCAUGAUUCCCAAAAUUAUCAAGACUGGUUUUGCAGCAAUUCAUCUGAUAUACUUCUUUACUGCUGGACCUGAUGAGGUACUUGAUCAGUGCAGCAUAAUCUAUCCUUUUGUUAUGUGUUGCUAAAACUGUUACAGUAGGAUACAAGGGGUACAAAAGGUGGUAUCCAAAUUCAUGAUGUUUUUGUUGAACUUUAAUAAUGUUUUUAGUUCUUCAGAAUGUUUUCAAAAGUUGUACAAGUGUAUUUGAAGUUGAAAGGUCAUUUCUAUGCUCAUUUUUGGAGGAGUAUGUAAUUUGAAUUAGCUCAUUUAGUGACAUCUGUGAAUUCUUUUUCAGGUAAAGUGUUGGCAGAUCAGACGUCAAACUAAGGCACCUCAAGCUGCUGGUGCAAUUCACACUGAUUUCGAGAGGGGCUUCAUUUGCGCUGAGGUAAACCUCUGCUAUUUUAAGUAGCUGAUAUUUUUGUUAAUUAUUGUAAUCUGCAGCAGCUGUAAGUUACAUGUGACCUCGUUUUAUAUAGUUGUCCUGCUUGAAAUAUUUUGAUUCUUUGUGAAUCUAGAAGACUGGAUGAUUCUAAAGUAACUUGCUUUCACCUCUUGAUGUAAUUCUGUCGAUGGUCAUUGUGUAACAGCACACAGGUUCUUUAUCUGAUGUUUUAUACUUGUGCACGCUUAUGAAGGAAAAACGAUAGAUGUAUUGCCCUAUUGAAGCCACACAUAGUGAUAUAGGUCAUGGAAGUGAUAUUUGAGUCUUAUAGAAUUUAGGCCAGUCAUUUAUUAUAUCUCUAUUCAUGUUUCAACAAGAUCAUAAUUGUUACAUCUACUUUUGUGGCUCAGGUAAUGAAGUUUGAUGAGCUGAAAGAACUGGGCAGUGAAUCUGCUGUCAAGGUGCGUGUGUUCUUCCCUGCAACCAUUCUUGUUCAAGUUCCUUUGUCGAGUUUUGACCUCGGAAAUUCAAUUGCAUGUGUACUGUAGGCUGCUGGAAAAUACAGGCAGGAAGGGAAAACCUAUGUGGUUCAGGACGGGGACAUUAUCUUCUUCAAGUUCAACGUGUCUGGUGGUGGGAAGAAGUGAAGGUGCGAGGAGACGAUAGCAUUCGAUAGUGUGUUACACCUUACCCUGGAUUUCUACAUUUUUGAGGCCACUAGCGAGUACCGAUUACAAGUUAAGAUUGUACGAUGAGGCUUUAAACUGUUGUAAGGCUUGUAUUCGAAUAACAUGUACGGUUGUAUAUCUUGAGCUCGCUCUUACCAAAGUCAUCUGCGUUCCUGAAACAGAGGAGUUGUGUGGUUGGGCUUUGCAUUGAGUAACCUGGUAUGCUACAAAUGAUUUGCUAUUUUUGGAGGGAAAUUAUUUAAAAUCACCGGGGCAGAAUAUAUGCUUGUAUAGUUGUAUGUCAUGUUCUUGGGUCUGGGGCUCUGGGCCGCACUCAUGGGCCUUCUCCAUCCUCCGAAUCUAUUUUGCAUUUUUAAGGACAACAUGGAAAUGGUAUAACCUUGCAGCCCGUUUGGUACCUAGAAUUGAAACUCAUUCCAUGAAUCAAAUACUAGCAAUUAAAUUCAAUAGUGAGUUAAUUAGAAUCUGAUUUAAUUCAAUUUUCUUGUUUGGAUAUACACAUAGAAACAUUUUCUUAGAAUUAAAUUCCAAAUGUUGUUAGAAUUUUCAAAGUCAACUUUUCUCUUGUGAUCUCCUAGCCCUUGUGUCAAUGGGUGCCCAGGGCCACCCACCAGCAUCUCCGUUGUGGUACAUGUUCCAUUAGCUGCUACAUGCAGUGCAGCCAUGAACAAGGAUUUGCUUGGAUACAAGUAAUUUUUUAGCUGAGAAAUCUCUACGGAUUUUGGAUUUUCCUCCAUGGGUAUUGACAAUAGUUUACAUAAAUUGCGCUCUUAUUAAAAAUAUAAAAUGAGCUUAUGUCUCAGUCGCCACCGUGUCGAAGCAGGCAUUUAUACUAAAGUUUAAUAAUUUUAUGGAAGGAAUUUACUUUUAAUCUGAAAAUGUUUGGUGUUGGCUCAUAAAUAUUCCCGAGAUAAAUCAACGUCCUCCAAGUCCUCUUCACUAUAGAUAUACAGCUAAGUUGUACUGGGUUGUAGGCUUGUAGCUGCGUACGUCCCCACCCUAAGGUUGCAACUUUUACUGUAUGCCCCAUGUCCUAGUCCUAUUAUAUAUAUAUUAAUAAAACAUUACAUAUAAAAGAGUAAAUAUUUUCUUACAUAAGAGAAAAGGAAUAACAUUAUACAACAUAUAAUCUAUCCAUGCUAAACAUUUUUUCCUUUACUCUUUAGAUAACCAUGGUAAAUCCAUGCUUAAUAUACUUCACACAGGCUCCAUGUCGAAGAUGGUAAAAGUUGGUGAGUUUGUCCAUGUCUUUGGAUGUGAAUUUUCUGAUAUCUGAUAUGAAAAUUUUCCAAUCUGUUGCUCUCUCUACUGAAAUUUAUUCUGAACGGUCAUUCUCACCGACUCACUUUGAUGCUCAUGGUCAAACUGGUUUCCCUUCUUCUUGAAAUGAUAUAAGAUGAGAAUCCAGAGCAUCGAAGAUUCGAACAUUGAAAUAUUGGGUGCCUGCAUGCCUGCUAAUGCUAUCUGCACUUUGUAUCCAAACAGCAAAGUCCACCGGUGAAAAAAUAUACAGCUGCAUCCUUGUGCACAGUAAAUUACAGGCGGAAGGCACUUACAGGUGAUAAAUAAUACAAUUAUGCCAAACAAAACCUAAGUUGCUUUUUUUUUAUACCCCACCGUGUCGAAGCAAGCGUUUAUACUGACCAUUAUUAAUUUUUAUAGGAAUUUGCUUUUAAUCUGAAAAUGCUUGGCGUUGGCUCAUAAAUAUUCCCGACAUAAAUCUCGUCCUCCAAGUCCUCUUUGAGUUGUACUGAGCUUGUAGACUGCCUCCAUCGUAAGGUUGAAACUUUAUAACGUUUUCAGCCAGCAAUGUUAUAGAUCUAUGACAAGAACAAAUGUGUCAUAAAUUUUUUAUCAUAGAUCAACAUAUUUCUUGUAGUGUGGAUACAUUUGAAUUUAUUUUUUCAUUAUCCGCAUUCAUAUUCGUAUUCAAAAUAAACGUGGAUGUGGAUGGAUAUCCAAUAAUAUCCGCAUUCGUAUAGCAUAAGCACUUCUCUAAACCAUACAAAAAAUAUAAUAUCCGCAUUUGUAUAGCAUAAGCACUUCUCGAAACCAUACAAUAAAUAUAUUAUUUUAAUUUAUUUUGAAACUUAUAUAUUUAUUUGUGUAAAUUACUUCAAAUAAUUUAUUUUGUUAUUGUAAAGUAUUUUUAUGUCUUAUUUGUUUAUUGAAUUAUUUAUGAGUAUUCAUUUAUUUAUUAUAAUAUUAAUUUAUUUUAUAAUAUUUUCAAUGAAUAAUCUUAGUCUACAUGUGUUAUGUUUUAUCCAUACAUGUAAUUGUAUGUCUAAAGAUGAUUUUGUUCUUCCAAAACUAUCAAUAAAUGAAUGUAUACUUGCUAAUUGCUAUUACCUAAAUUAAAUGGAUAUUCGAAUAGAAAUCUGAACUCAAGCUAUCCAAAUCUGAAUUCACAUUCGACAACAUCUGAAUCUGAAUUCGCAUUCGAGUGAAAAUGUGGUAAAAAGCGCUAUCCGAUUCCGUGCGAAUCCGAUGCGAUACCACCUCCAUAGGCUUAUAGCCACUGCUUGGAGAGGCUACAAAUCGCUACCGCGUAGACGUUCCAGCUACAUGUGGUGUAACACACGGUACAUGAGCAAGUAGGAGAAGCUAGAGGCAAACACGAUUGUGAGGAGCACACGCGGGCCUAAAUCGAGGAGAGAGUGCAAGGAUGGGAGACGGGUAAAGGAGGAUGGGGAGCAUUGGGAAUGGAUGGUGCAACUGGUUUUGAGGAAAGUGAUUUUGCUCCAAUAAUUUACCCCAAAAAAGUCCAUCCCUUUAUCCUCGUCAGAAACAAGACGUAGCACGUAUACGUGCUCCCAUAUGAAGAUCCUUUCACUCUAAGACUAUUGGAGGAGCAUGUUAACACUUGUGGAAGAAAAUGCUACCGACAUUGGUCAUGUUCGGUUAGAACAAAGGGAGGAGGAAGGAGACAACACAUGGGCCCAAGCAAGUGUAAUAGAAUCAAUUGCUAAAAUCAUUGGUAUUAAUAGCUUGUGUCAUAUUUAGAUGGUAUUGGAGUUGAGUGUUCAAAAUUAGAUAAAUAGACAAGUUUAGAAGAAAUGAAGUUAUCCAUUUUCCUAUUGCAAUCAUAUCAUAUUCUUAUUCAUAUUCAUACUCUUGCACAAAUAAUAUGUAUCUGAAAGGUUAUUUUAUUGAGCUGAUAGGUUCUUUAUUCACAAAGAUAUAUACUUCCUUUAAUUUAGUCAUAAAUACUCUUGAUGUUACAGACAAGGCACUGGUUAAACUUUUGAAAGUUUGAUAAUAAUCAAUGUAUAAACUUUAAAGUAAUUAGAUGGAAAAUAUGAAAAAAAUCAUAUGUGAGUUUAUAUUGAAAACUAUUUUCACAUCUUCGUAACUCUUUACACUUUAUAAAUAUAUUAUCAUACAGAAUAGUGCCAUAUUAAAGACUAUUGUUAUGUUCAGAUCAUCAAUUACUAUUGUUGGUUGUAGGGAAUUUAGUGCCAUAUUUUUGCUAGCUAGCUAGCUGGGUGAUUUUAAAUUUAAUGGUAAUCCACGUUUCUUUAUAUGGAGUUAGUAAAUUAGAAUGAUCAAAUGCAUUAUGCAUGUAUGAGGACAAAUUUCUUUAUUUCCACACUUUGAUGCUAUGUGAGUUUUCAUUUUCAUCCACAUUUGGCUGAGAAUGAAUAGAUAUUCAGGUUGUAUGUGUAACAGCAUAUGUUCACAUCUAUAUUCAAAUAGUUUGUAUUUCAGUUUAAUAACACGCAUGAACUAUUUGUGUAUGGAUCGAUCGUGCACUACACAUGCGUCGCACAUCGAUGAGUAUGUCUUAGUACAUAUACAUAUAUUCACUUAGCAUCAUCAUCUUCCUCACAAUUCCAAAUGCUCACAAGGCACAGAGAAAUUGCCAGUAUGGAGAGCCGUAGUAGCAUCAAUUAAUCUAAACAUAUAGCAUCAAUUAAUAAUUGUCCCAAAAGUAUGGAGAGCCGCCGUAGUAGCAUUGUUACAUGAACCAAGCAUUAUACUGGGCAUCAAAGGAGGCUAGAUUACAGACAGACACCCGGGCUGAUCUUACACGAACCGCAAGCGCAUGCGGCAUGGAUUGUGUAUGGAUCUUCUUAGCCGGAGAGGGCGCUGGUGUUGUACACAAGGAGGGCACCGCCGCCAAGGAGCCCGGCGAGGGUGAUGGCCCAGAUCAGAAGCCCGGUUUUUCCUAUAUAAUAUAAAGACCAACAAGGAGAUUGAACCAUCAUAAACAUUUGUUUCAACUCUCUGCUACUGGUAAUUUCCAUCAUUUUUAAGAUGUGCAUGCUAACUGAAAUUACUAACAACCUAGCAUACAUAGCUAAGAUCUGGUGCUUAAUUUCUGCGGUAUACUCAUAGCAAAAUAUUCUGGACAAGUGAGAGUGAAAUUACUACUUACCGCCGACGUAGACGUCACCGCUGGGAGACCAGUCCUCCUCCUUGUAGAUUGGGCUGUAAAUUGAUUGGCAAACAAAACCUUAAUCAGCCACUAAUGUUCACACAACAGCUACAUGAUCCUUCUAAACAAACAAAGAAACAUGGAUCUUCAUGCCUAGCUAGUAGCUACAUGCAUGCAUGUCUUGGUCACUGGCUGAGCUAGCUCACCUGUAUCCGUCGACGUUGGCGCCGUACUUGUCAACGAACUGGUACACGCCCUUGCCCUGCAUCCACCCAAAAAAAAAAUGAAAAUUUUCAGUUUAUGCGCCAUGAAGAAUCACCAAAUUUCCACUGAAAUCUUCCGGUGAAUUCAGUGACUAGAUUCUUGUGCUCCAAACGGUUUCGAGUCAGAAAGAAAUUAAGCGGAAGAGGCCCUCCUCACCUUGACCUUCCUCCCGGAGGCAUCGACGUCGACGGUCAGGCCACCCCCAAUCCCGAAGGGCUUGUCGGUCUUGAUCUUCUUGCCGGUGCCGCAGACGACGGCGAAGGAGGAGGCGCGGCGGCCGAGGGACGGCAGGCCCUGGGCCCUGGCCGGCGCCGCCAGAGUCGACGAGGAGAUCAUGGAGGCUGCCAUUGCUGCUGUAGCUGUAGCUGUAGCUGCUUCGGUUCACUCGCUCUUGCUGCUAUGCCUGCCGGAUGCAGAGCCUCCAGGAAGCUACACGGAGCCAAUAUACUUGUGGCGCCAAAACCUGUGGAUAAUGCCAGGAGGACAGGUGCGACCGCCGUGGCGCCACGUGGCGGGGCACGGUUGGCC
rnacentral:lncRNA from 1 species